rnacentral:rRNA from 1 species
CCUACGGGUGGCAGCAGUGAGGAAUAUUGGUCAAUGGCCGGAAGGCUGAACCAGCCAUGCCGCGUGAAGGUCAGUGCCCUAUGGGCGUUAAACUUCUUUUGUGCGGGAGCAAUAAUGGUCACGUGUGGCCAGACGAGAGUACCGUACGAAUAAGCAUCGGCUAACUCCGUGCCAGCAGCCGCGGGAAUACGGGGGUUGCACGCGUUAUCCGGAUUUAUUGGGUUUAAAGUGUGCGUAGGCUGUGAGGUAAGUCAGCGGUGAAAUGGCCCCGCUAAGAGGGGUGAAAUGCCAUUGAUACUUCAUUGCUGGAAUGCGGAUGCCGUGGGAGGAAUGUGUGGUGUAGCGGUGAAAUGCAUAGAUAUCACACAGAACACCGAGUGCGAAGGCAUCUCACGAAUCCGCGAUUGACGCUGAUGCACGAAAGCGUGGGUAUCAAACAGGAUUAGAUACCCCGGUAGUC